GACGAACCGUGCGAACGUUGUUCGGAAUCACUGGGCAUAAAGGGCGCGUAGGCGGCUUUUCAAGUCAGGGGUGAAAUCCGGCAGCUCAACUGUCGAAGUGCCUUUGAUACUGAUGAGCUCGAGGGAGGUAGGGGUGUGUGGAACUUCCGGUGGAGCGGUGAAAUGCGUUGAUAUCGGAAGGAACGCCGGUGGCGAAAGCGACGCACUGGACCUCUUCUGACGCUGAGGCGCGAAAGCCAGGGGAGCAAACGGG
rnacentral:rRNA from 1 species